GUGCUGUCGUUUUGUUGAAAUUCUCCUUAACGCUCGCAGCGCGGCGGCCCCUUGCCUUCCACCUUUGGCUCUCUCCUCUUUCUUUCCUCCCUCCCUCCCUCGACUUUCUUCUUCUCUACCAUCUCAGGUGCCGCUGUCUCCGCCACCUCUCCCUCACUUCUUGUACCGACAGGCAACAGUAGCCCCAUUAAGAUAUAUUCUGCUGCAGUACAAUCGAGGAGAAGAGGUAAGAGUUUAUUCUCUACCCAAGGCAAGAAAGGCCUUCUAAAACUUUUUACCUGGGUUAUCUAUGUGUUGGGUAGAAACUUGUUGCUGCACUUUGGGCAUCAAGGACAACCCACCAGCAUCAUAGAAGAUGGAACUCGUCUCUGGGUUGCUCGCGUAACGAAGGCAUGAGCUAUUCGGUUUGUUUGAUUGUUGUAGAAUUGGGUUUGUUUGCUUCACUAGACUCCGCUGUAAUUUUCAAUCCAAUUGGGUUUGUUUGAUUGAUGAAUUUUUUGAAUUUGUUUGGGAAAAACCUGUGUUGGGUUUGUUUGAAGUUUGAUGGUUGAAAAUUUGAGUUUUCUUUGAACGUUGAAGGUUGCGAUACCAUCUGAAACAAAGGCUGAGAAGUGGGAAAAAAAAAUUGAGAGAUGGCAGAUUGGAUUUAUUUCGGUAUGAUGAUGGGUGUCUCUAACUAUAUUUGCUGGAUUGAACCACUACUGUGAGCUUUAAUUUUUAGUUUCUCAACUCUCUCUCAUGCGGGCAAAUGCAGUGAUAUAAAACAUCAGAUAAUGGACUUUUCAGAGGAAUGGAAGUCCGUAUUCCCUAUUGGGAGCGUCUUUGGGGCGCCGCUUCUCGUCUCAAGUCCAUCCUCGAAGGCCAUUCUGGGUCCUCUCUUCUUCAACCCAAAACCUCAGACCCUAACUCAACUCUUUAACUCUCCCUCUAUUUGUCCUCCUCUUCUCAAUGCUCCUUCAGGUCUCUCUCUAUCUAGAUUCCUCUCCACUUCAACAACACUCGAAUCCCCUAUCCCUCUCUCCACUGCCUCCUCCAUUGCCUCCCUCUUUGGCCCCCAACUCCAUGAUAAUGCUGCUUCUUUGCUAGCCCACAACCGCCUUCAAUUCCUCAGAUGCCCACAUGACAAUGCUGUCAUUAUCUUCUUUUCCACAGGGUGCAACCAUGACCAGGUUGGGUUUUUGUUACUUUCUGUUAAAGAGAGGAGUUUGCAAGUUGUUGGGGAUCCAAAAGGUGGUGUUCUUACUGCCAAAAAGUGUUUGAAUCAAAGGAUAGUGAAGAUUUUGGUGAACCCAGUUGCGGAUUCUGUUUAUUUUGAUGGUAAUGAUUCUUGUUCUUCUAAUAUAGUUGGGUAUUUGUUGGUUUAUACCAUGUCUUCUGUGCACUGGUUCAGUGUUAAAAUUUCUGAAAUUAGCGAAAGACCUGUUUUGGGUUAUGUUGGUUGCAAAAUUUUUAAGAGUUGCUCUAUCGUGGAUGCUUGUUGGAGUCCUCAUUUGCUAGAAGAGAGUAUGGUUUUGUUGGAGAAUGGUUCAUUGUUUUUGUUUGAUUUGAAGUCUGAUAGUUCUGAUAUAUAUUUUAGAGGAACCAUGUUGAAAGUAUCAUGGGAUGAUUCUGGUAAUUCUGAGAAUCGUAAAUGGUUGGGAUGUCACUUCAGUUGGCAUCCUAGGGUUUUGAUUGUUGCAGGUUCAGAUGCUGUUUUUCUGGUUGAUUGGAGGCAUGAUGGGUUUAAAGUGACUUGUUUGGCAAAUAUUGAUAUGUUUGGUGUGUAUGCUCCAAUUGAAAAGGAACGGUUCCUAGUUUUUUCCAAGGCAGUUUCCGAUAACUUUCAUUUUGUUUUGGCUUCUGACCACAUUUUAGCUCUCUGUGAUGUGCGCAAGCCGCUGAUGCCAAUUUUGCAAUGGGCACAUGGUCUUGAUAAGCCAUGCUAUGUUGAUGUAUUCAGAUUGUCACAAUUGAGGUCAAACUCAAGGAAAAGCACACAUGAAUGGGCAACUGCAUCAGGUUUUGGUAUUAUAUUGGGAUCAUUUUGGAAUUGUGAGUUUAGUCUCUUUUGCUAUGGACCUCCUCUGCCUGCUCACAAAGGGUCAAUUGCUUCAGAAAUUUCAAAAAUUUCCAAAUCUUCUUAUUCUUGGGAUGUCCCUUCAGAUCUCUUGUUGUCUGGUAAUAAGUGUCGAUGUGGAAGUUGUCUUGUAAGAGAAGAGUUUUUGAAGGAUGCUCUUCCCGAAUGGAUUGAUUGGCAGCAGAAAAAAGACAUAGUUUUGGGGUUUGGCAUUUUAAGCAGUGAUCUCUCUUCAUUGCUCUUUGAGUCGGAUGAAUUUGGUGGUUUUACUUUGAUUAGACUAAUGUCCUCAGGGAAGCUGGAGUCACAGAGAUAUUAUGCAUCAUGGGAUUUGGUUAGAAAAUUAGAAGCAGCUCAUAGAGAUCAAUUGCUGUGUUUUGGAGACAACUUGCUUUACUCCUUGGAGGAUGAGGAAUACAAGUUUCCUAGAAGAUUUAAGUAUUUGAAGCUGGAUUACCUCUCUGCAUAUAUUAAUGGUAAUAUUUCUCAGGUCUUGGAUUCAAACAUGACAAAGCCUUGCAAGGGUUCUCAACAGAGAGAGUCUUUUAGCAUAGACUUUCAUGAAACACUGUGCGAGAAAUUGAAGAUUUGUGGGUUCAGUCAAUUUAGAACAUCCCCUGCCAUUAGCGUUGUUUUUAAUGACAUCAACUUGCCAACAAGUGUACAUGAAGUUGCUUUGAGGAGCAUAUGGGCAAGCUUGCCAAUGGAACUCUUGCAACUUGCCUUUUCCAGCUACUCCGAAUUUCUUGAAGUACUCUUGGACAAGAAGGUGGUUUCUUUGGAAUUUUUAGUUGUUCCGGACCUACCUCAGUUGCCUCCAUUUUUCUUAAGGAAGCCUUCAAGUCGCAGCAGUAGGUGGUCACAUAAAGUGCCGCACAGCAAUGCCCUUGUUGGUCCAGUUCUUCCUCUCCCUAUUUUGAUUACACUUCAUGAGUUACAAAAUAGCUGUCCAAAUUCACAGGAUGAAGAAAUAGGUGGCUUUUCACCAGAGGUGGAACUAAGCAAUCGGUGCAGUGAAGUAAUGCAAGUGGCAAGGGAAAUGGCCAUGCCAGAUUCUACAGUUGAGCCUGAUGAUGAAGAUGCUGUCUCCCUUGCCAAUGACAGAGAUAACAUCUGGGUUGAUUCUGAAAAACCAAAGUCAUUCUUUUUACACUGUCCCGUUGCAGUACACUGCUCUACUGAGGUCUAUAGAGAGAGCAACUGUGUUCAUAAGGAUGGCAGAUUUGCUUACUUGAUUUCAAAAGUGCAUGAGAAAGAGUCCAUCCACAACAAUGAGGUAGAAAAUGUCAGACAAGAACUCUUUGAUGAUCUGUGCCCCAUUCAAUUGAAGUUUGAUGCUGCUGCUAUGGACUUCAGUUCACAAGAAUUGAAAGCUUAUAAUUUGUUGAAAAGGCAUUUCUCAAAAUGGCAAGAAGAAUUCAAACCAUUUCAGGGUUUUUAUAGCCGUUUCCAAAAGCAAGACAAGUAAAAGUUUUUCUCAUUUCUGGAACUUUUACAUUUUUUGUCCUGAAUAUUGCUUUUAUCAAGGCCCAUCCCCUUACAAUUUUGUAUCCCUUUGCUAUUACUAAAGGAAAACAGCAAGAAAAUCUUACGUGUGAACAAAACUAGAGUUGUAUAUAGAGCAAGAAAAUUUAAUUGUGACUAUUAUCAAUAGGAAUUAUUUGUAAAAUUUGUACCUUUUCUAUCUAUCCCACCCAGAAUUCUCUUUUCAAUUUUCUCCACACAUGUAAAAUUGUUUUUGUUUCCUUGCACAUAUUACCA
rnacentral:misc_RNA from 1 species